UCAUGGCUCAGAUUGAACGCUGGCGGUAUGCUUAACACAUGCAAGUCGAACGGAAACGAUGGAAGCUUGCUUCCAGGCGUCGAGUGGCGGACGGGUGCGUAACGCGUAGGAAUCUACCUAGUAGUGGGGGACAACUCGGAGAAAUCCGAGCUAAUACCGCAUACACCUACGGGGAAAAGGGGGCCUCUUCUUGAAAGCUCUCGCUAUUAGAUGAGCCUGCGUAGGAUUAGCUUGUUGGUGAGGUAAUGGCUCACCAAGGCAACGAUCCUUAGCUGGUCUGAGAGGAUGAUCAGCCACACUGGGACUGAGACACGGCCCAGACUCUACGGGAGGCAGCAGUGGGGAAUAUUGGACAAUGGGCGAAAGCCUGAUCCAGCAAUACCGCGUGUGUGAAGAAGGCUCGAGGGUCGUAAAGCACUUUCAGUAAGGAGGAAAUCUUUUGGGUUACUAACCUAGAAGUUUGACGUUACUUACAGAAGAAGCACCGGCUAACCCUGUGCCAGCAGCCGCGGUAAUACAGGGGGUGCAAGCGUUAAUCGGAAUUACUGGGCGUAAAGCGCGCGUAGGCGGUUUAGUCAGUCAGAUGUGAAAGCCCCGGGCUCAACCUGGGAACUGCAUUUGAUACUGCUAAACUAGAGUGUGGUAGAGGUAAGUGWAAUUCCGGGUGUAGCGGUGAAAUGCGUAGAGAUCCGGAGGCACAU
rnacentral:rRNA from 1 species